rnacentral:rRNA from 1 species
ACUCAAAUGAAUAGACGGGGGCCCGCACAAGCAGCGGAGCAUGUGGUUUAAUUCGAAGCAACGCGAAGAACCUUACCAGGUCUUGACAUCCAAUUAAAGGUGUAGAGAUACACUGUGAGCUUGCUCAAAUUGAGACAGGUGGUGCAUGGUUGUCGUCAGCUCGUGUCGUGAGAUGUUGGGUUAAGUCCCGCAACGAGCGCAACCCUUGCGAUUGGUUGCUAACAGGUAGCGCUGAGAACUCCAAUAGGACUGCCGGGGACAACUCGGAGGAAGGUGGGGACGACGUCAAAUCAUCAUGCCCCUUAUGACCUGGGCUACACACGUGCUACAAUGGCCACUACAGAGAGGAACGAAGCCGCAAGGCGGAGUGGAUCUGAUAAAAGUGGUCUCAGUUCGGAUUGUGGGCUGCAACCCGCCCACAUGAAGUCGGAGUUGCUAGUAAUCGCGAAUCAGCAUGUCGCGGUGAAUACGUUCCCGGGCCUUGUACACACCGCCCGU